rnacentral:tRNA from 1 species
GGAAGGAUGGCCGAGUGGUUUAAGGCGCAUGCCUGGAAAGUAUGUUCACGCACAGCGUGUCCAGGGUUCGAAUCCCUGUCCUUCCG